UGCUGCUAAGUUUCUGUCUCUUUCUGCCCGUCCUUGUGUGUUCUGCCGUCAUGAUUAUCAAACGAAAUGAAUUGACUAGAUGCUGCGCUAAGGAAGAAUCACAAGCUGAUGAAUUAGAAGAUGUGGAUCAGUCAGAAAAUCCAAGUGUAUAGCCAAUAACACCAGAAGGCUGGAAAUUAUAUCAGCAGUCCAGUGCUCCCAGCAUGCAACCUCUGAAAGAACAGCACAACAGAAAACCAGCUUUAAUUUGAUUUUUAAAAUUAUUCCAGUUAAAUAUUCCCUUCCUCCCAUAAAGAUAGAGCGUCUUUUUAAAGUAAUAGUAAGUACCGUGAAGCGAAGACUGAACUUAAAUGUGUUGUGUAUGUCCAUUUCCUGUACAGAACCAUUCCAUUCAGCAUGUUUAUUGACUUAUUCUGGUGUUAUAAAUUCAUGCCUGUCGCAGGGCUUGACAAUUUCACGUUCCUGUUUGCUAAUGAUGAGUUUGAAUCUUUGGGGGUGAGCAUUCCAGCUGUCAUUUGGAGGAAGCGAUGUUGGAAAGAGCCUGACAGAUACAAAUCAACAGAAGGGUGCUGAGUCUGUCUCCAGACAGUUUGGUGUUAGAGAUUUGAGCUCCCCCGGUCCUCUCAACGGAGCACUCAAUUAAUUGUUCUCUCAUAAACCACUAAGGAGCAAACCCCAGAAGUGAGGACUCAGAAGAGGCAGGAUCAUGAAGACACCAGCAGCACAUCUGGCGAGCGUGUUUGGGGCGAGUAUGCUGCAUUCUCCCUAGCAAGCUCCAGUGGGAACACCGGUCAGCCUUGCAGGCCAGUGCCUGGAAGGCAUGUAGAAGCCCUGAGGAAUUCCUGUAGUUUAAAUUGUUUGGUUAAAAGGUGGUCAUUUGAUUUCUCAUAAUUGCUCUAGACCUCAGUAGGUUUUUGACUUGCCUUCAUUAUUUUUUUUCAGUUGAUUAUUGAAAUGAAAAUUGAAUAUUUUUCUCUUUCUGCUACUCAACAGUGAACUUUAAUGGAUUCUUAGUUUGCCUAGAAAACGUUUGUAACCUUUUAAUUUUGCUUUUAAGGAGUCUUCUCCUUCUUGUGUAAUUCUGAAUUGGAUAUUAAUUAUAAAAUAAAAAGUUUUUCUAAAAAAAAUCUGGAAACAGCUACAUCUCUUAUUUGUGCAGGGUAAAUCCAGAAGUUCAUGUUACCAGUUCUGCUUGGAUUAUUUUUACUGAUGUUCAGUGAGGUGAUCUGCAGAAUACAAUAAUUGAGAACCAUGUAGCUGAAGACUGGGAAAUUUCACAGAGCAUGUUCUUAAACUACCUCCACUUACUGGGAGAGCAACACAGUGGAGAUCGAUCUCCUGGGAUCGAUUUCAGCAUGUCUAGUAAGGACCCACUAAAUCAACUGCUGAUCACGCUCCCAUUGACUCUGGUGCUCCACCAGGUUGCAAGGAGUAAGGGAAGUUGACAGGAGACUUUCUCUCAUCAACCACCAAUAGUGUGGAUGCCGUGGUAUGUCGAACUAAGGUACGUCGACUCCAACUAUGUUACUGACAUGGGUGGAGUGACAUGUUUUAGCUCAACUUUGCCCCCUACUGUAG